AGAAUUGAAAUGACCUCAAAGCCCUAUUGUGCCCAAAUGGCCCUUGACAUGAAUGGGGAUGUUCUUGCUCAGGCUGUGGCUACAGAAAAAGAAACUGGCCCACUAUCCCUAGAUGAUUAUGCAGUCUUUGCAAAUGGGCAUGGCCAUAAGUUUCUUUCCCCCAAACUAAGCCUGUUGAUCACAUGGGAAGCUGCUCAUCUGAGAGGCUCUGUCCAUAACUGCAUUGGAAACGGUCACGUGGUUGGGAAGAAAGCUACUUGGAAAAGAAGGCCAGCAAAAAAUUGCCUGAAAAGCAGAGAAGUCCCUCCCUGAUCAAUGCAUACUGCCAAGCACUUACUAUCCAACACUCUGACACUCCAGUUCUAACAUUUUAAUUUUUUAGCAGAGAACAGCUAUUUCCCCAGCUUAAUCUUAGGCUUCACUGUCUGCUUUCCUCUUCUCACUGUGAGUCAACUACAUGCUUAUUAAAGGGAUA